rnacentral:lncRNA from 1 species
GGUAAACUACACAUGUUGACUCUGACUGACUGACUGAAAACCUUUCCUAAUCAUUCUGGACACAUGGUCAGACCCACUCUUUAUCCAGAGCUGAGAAACUAAAUUUCUGGAUCCAUGCUGUCUUUACUCUGAAUUUUUCAAAGCCGAAGGAUGUGGAAUGUGAGAAUCAGAAGAAACAAUCUCGUUUUUUAGAGAUGAAAAUUUAUUCCUAGAGAAGUUCUGACUUACCUCAGGCCAUGCCUCUUAUUGGCAGAAGCCCCCCUCAACUGGAACCUGUGCUCAAUCCUGACCACAGAAGCCCUGAAACAUGAAUGUUCUGGAU